rnacentral:lncRNA from 1 species
GUUGUUGGCGCAACCAGGUGGGAAAAGUUUCCAUGUGCUGACGGGUAAGCCAAGCAUCGGAUUGGGUCGGGUUUUUGGAAGCUACCAUCUGCCUGUGUUGCUCGAUAUACGGAGACACAAAGGAUGACUGUUGUAGAACAGUGUAGUGUGCCUUGUCGAACAAAUCAGUAUCAUUGCUCAAACUUGAUUUCCUUCCAAGGGUGCCCAUUCCUCGGAGCCUCCCCUCGUGGCGUGAAGUUGGAACCCCAAUCGAGUCAAUUGAAUCAAUAAAAUCAACACAAAACUCGAUCACCUCCUCUGUUCCAUAUCCC